rnacentral:rRNA from 1 species
CCCUUAGAUGUCCGGGGCCGCACGCGCGCUACACUGAAGGAAUCAGCGUGGCUUUCUCCCUGACCCGAAAGGGUUGGGAAACCCGUUGAAUCUCCUUCGUGAUAGGGAUUGGGGCUUGAAAUUGUUCCCCAUGAACGAGGAAUUCCCAGUAAGCGCGAGUCAUAAGCUCGCGUUGAUUACGUCCCUGCCCUUUGUACACACCGCCCGUCGCUACUACCGAUUGAACGGUUUAGUGAGGGCCUCGGAUUGGUCUCGGUCUGGCGUGCAAGCGCCGGCACCGUUGGCCGAGAAGACGCUCGAACUCGAUCGCUUGGAGAAAGUAAAAGUCGUAACA